UUGAUUGAUCUCCACUACACUCCCCGCUGACCAGAGAAAACACUCGAUAGCGAAUGCGAGAGGGGAUUUAAAUUGGACAAAUACUGUCCUCGCUACUUGACGGAUAAGGUGGCAAUUUUUUUUCUCAUGCGGUUUAAGGUAAUCCGUUAUUAGCACUGUUUCGCGACUAGCUAAACAUCGACGCGGUGCGACGUUAGCUAGCUUGUAAUGUCGGCACUGUUGGACUUGUUUUCCCCUCUAGACCCCGCUUCCUGUUAGCCUUGGGCUAGCAGAAAAAUCGAAAUUAUGCUAAUGAACGAGCGGGUAUAGUUAGCCAACGCAAAGGGGUGUAACUUUACUGCUCACAGCAGGCUACCCGUUGUAAUUUAGUUGCAAUUUAUCCACAAAUCUAUGCUAAUAACUUUGUUUCACAGCCAGCUAUCAGGGCAGCUGGUUUCCUUUAGUUUGCUAACGCUCGACAGCUAGCCAUCUUGCUUGUGUUGAGGGAUUUAAGUAUUUAACUCGACAAGCUUUUGGAGGCAGAGAGCGAAGGAUAUUAACUUCAGCUGCAUGUUAAUAUAUGCAUCAGCAUUUAGCUCACUCCUGUAGGACCCAGUUGCGUGCGACUAAUGCCUUAAAAAUACUUUAUUUUACUGUGGACAGCCCGACAGUGCUCCACUGUGAAAAGACAAUAGAGAACCCGAGACUUGCUCAGCUGUUGUUCUGGUAACGACCAAAACCACAGAUAACUAACUUAGAGACAAUUGUAUUUUGGAUACUGCUUUGUUAUACCACACGCUGAUAUAGGUACAAUAUAUUUUUAGAUACUUGUGCACGUUCAUACGUAGUGAAAUAAUUAAGGUGUCUCUGUGAAGUUGACCCGCUCAGAUAGACAGGGGGACGGUGGAUGGAGACUGUGCAGAUGGUGCUUGUGCGACAUAUGAGGACUGUGCUUCCCUGAACCCGCUGCUUUCAGGUAUCCCAUCUCAUUAUAUUAAACAACAGCUUUAAAUGCCUCAGAAAACACUCGCAGUAGCCGGUCGUCGUCAGAGGUAACUAGGUGGAUAGAGAGAAGCGGUCUGAAGAGGGAGGCUCCUGCCCGUUUCUGAACGUCCAUCUCUCCAGCCUACCUUCAUCACGUCCAUUCACCACCGCCCUCCCCAGCCAUGGACCCCCCGAGGACUCGGUCGCGGUCUCGGUCUGGUUUCUAUCAUUUCGGCAUGAGCGGUAACGUCGGGAGCAAUGGCAGUGGUAACGCGGUCGGCAACGGGAGCAUCAUGAACGCCAGCGGAGGAGGGGUGAGCUACCCGCAGCAGAGCAACCCCGGCUGGGCGCCGCACCACGGUGGUCGCAGCUACCCGGAGAGUCAGCAGCAGCACACCCAGGGGAGCUACCUGUCCGCGGGGGCGCAGCGCCACUCAUCGCACGGAGCUCACAGACACCCCGGGGCCGGCGGAGUGCUUCAUUUUCAUCCAGAUAAUGUGUGCAGCGAAGAUCGGGAUAAAAUGGAAGACAGCCCAAGCCCGAAAAGGCAGCGUCUUUCCCAGCAGACCAUGUUGGAUCUAAAUUCUGCCCCUCCCUCGACUCCUUCCUCUCCCAUUCGCCCCUGGGAGCUGCCUCCCAGUCGCAGACCACACCCCCACUACAUGCCAGAGAGAUGCCACACGCCUGUUCGCAACCGACGCAGCCCUCCAAUGAGACGACAGCGUGGCCGGAGAGACCGCCUGACCCGCCACCACCACCACGCCCACAACAACCACCACCACUACAACAGCAACAACAACAACCACCACCACCACCAUCACCACCCCAAUGCCCACCAUCACCACCACCACCACCUGCACUCCCACCACGGCCCGUCGCCAGGCCACCAGGAUGAGAACUACCGUCACCCAGCUCCGCCUCAGGGCUACUCACCCUACAGCCAGCAACCUCCCAGAGGGCUGGGGCCUGGGCUCGAAGAGCGCCCAGGUCACCAUCCCCCAAAUCCCUCCCCGAGGCCCCUGCACCAGUCACCGAACCUGUCUCCCAGGCUGCUGCACCCUGCGGCCCAUCCACAGCACCCACACCCUCACCCAUCCCAGCAGAGCAGUGUGGUGCUGGACCUCCAUGAGCAGGGUUCAGCUCCAGUAUCGUAUCCUGUGUCUCCUCCGGGAGCGCCACCUGGCCUGCCGCCUCGCUCCGCCCCUCAGCAGAUCCCAGCGUGCUCAGUAGUAUUCAGUGGACAGCACUAUCCCGUCUGCAGCGUCCCUCCUCCUGUCCUGCAGACUUGUUCUGUGCAGCACUUACCCAUGCCCUACCCGUUCCCGUCCCUGCUGUCCAGUGACCCAGCCUUCCUGCUUCCACCUCCUCACCUCCCCCAUCCCCCAACACACCUUUCCCACCACCCACCUCACCUGCCUCAGCCUGGACAGUUUGGACCUUAUCCAACGCAGCAGGCCCGCUCGCCGUUACAGAGGAUAGAGAACGACGUGGAGCUGCUCGGAGAACACCUGUCCUUGGGUGCUGGGCUCCACUAUCCUCCCGCCACCCACCCUGCCCUCACACCACACUCCACACAGCUUCACUUCCUCUCCCAUGACCCCCUGCCACAAGAGUUCUUCGGAGUGUCCUAUCCAAACUUUAUUCCUCGGCGUCUCCCGGGGCGACGGUACCGCUCACAACAGCCACUGCCACCUUCGCCUUACCACCCCAGCCUCCUGCCUUACUUCCUUUCAAUGCUGCCAGUCCAGCCCACCGGUCCUGCGAUCAGUCUGGAGCUGGAUGUCGACGAUGGAGAAGUGGAAAAUUACGAGGCCCUCCUGAACCUCGCCGAGCGUCUGGGAGAGGCCAAACUCCGAGGACUGACCAAGGGAGACAUCGAACAGCUUCCAUCCUAUCGGUUCAAUCCAAAUAACCAUCAGUCUGAGCAAACACUGAUCAGCAAAACUAUGGAUUUUUGUGGAUUUACUAUUUUACGGACAGAGGCUAAAUGUUGGAUAGUUAGAGUUUAUGCAGUUGUUUAGCACAUUUGUGGUUUUGCAAGCUACAGAAAGUUCAAAUCUACUUCAAAGCAUAUUUGGGGCGUCUAAAUGUCAUCUCUGCCUGUUGGGAUUGGGCUUUGUGAGAAAAUGUGCUAAUGCUGCAUUCACGUGCUCCUCCGAUGGUUCCAUUUUCCGAGAUGGGUGUCGUUCUUCCUACUUCGGUGUGUUCAUGAGCUUGUAAGUCACAAUAUAGAAACGACAUGGAUGCAGCAAAGGUGUGUUGUAUUUUAUUGUCCAGAGCACCAAACAACACAUUGAUGACAGUUUUGCACCAGUACAGUCCCCAUUCUUACAACUUAUUACCAUAUCAUCAGUUACAUGUGACCAAAAAUGGGUAUGCGGUAUAUGAAUUAAGAAAGUUCCUCACAAUCAACCAAACAUUUACUUCCGUCUGCCAUGUUUCUGCGUAUAUGUGGGGAACCAAUUUUUCAGAUUAUUCUAGCACCACAUGAAUGCAACACAUACUUCUAAAGAUAAACAUCCAAAAGCAAUUUAAGAUUAUCCUGCAGUUGGUCUGUGAAUAUUAGUAAGAGGACAAAUAUCCACUGUGACAAGAAGAAGGUGACAGUGGAAAUUACAGUCUUGCAGUCUUAACCCAUUAACCAGUUAACUUAAAUCUGCCCGAUACCCUGCGUGUCACAUAAGAAGUGUGUCAAACAACAGCUCUCGUGCAUUGCCACAGUUAAACAUGCUAAUACCUGUUUGGUGUUGCAGGUGUGUGGUGUGUAUGAGUGAUUUUGAGUCCCGCCAGCUGCUGCGAGUCCUGCCCUGCAGCCACGAGUUCCAUGGGAAGUGUGUUGACAAGUGGCUGAGGGCCAACAGGACGUGUCCCAUUUGUCGGGCCGACGCCUCAGAAGUCCAGAG